rnacentral:rRNA from 1 species
GACGAACGCUGGCGGCGUGCCUAACACAUGCAAGUCGAACGGAGAUAUGAUUUCGGUUGUAUCUUAGUGGCGAACGGGUGAGUAACGCGUGAGCAACCUGACUCUUAGAGGGGGAUAACACUCGGAAACGGGUGCUAAUACCGCAUAAGACCACGACAUGGCAUCAUGACGAGGUCAAAGGAGCAAUCCGCUGAGAGAGGGGCUCGCGUCCCAUUAGAUAGAUGGCGGGGUAACGGCCCACCAUGUCAGCGAUGGGUAGCCGAGCUGAGAGGCUGAUCGGCCACACUGGAACUGAGACACGGUCCAGACUCCUACGGGAGGCAGCAGUGGGGAAUAUUGGUCAAUGGGAGCAAUCCUGAACCAGCAAUGCCGCGUGUGGGAUGACAGGGCUUCGCCUUGUAAACCACUGUCGGACGGGACGAAAGGAGGCCUCGGGCCUCUGGGACGGUACCGUCAAAGGAAGGGUCGGCUAACUACGUGCCAGCAGCCGCGGUAAUC